rnacentral:rRNA from 1 species
CCCUACGGGGUGCACCAAUUGAGGUCACGGAACAGGACGGUGCCGCGGACGUGGACGCGGUGACGAAGGUCAUUGCCGGCCUGGUAUUGCAGGAGAGUGCCGAUGGUGCUGACGGGGAGGGCAAAAACGUCGGCAGGCGCAGGUUUGGUGACCUGAAUGUCAUUCGCGGCAGCAACGAGCAGCCGAACGCCGGUGAGCUGCCGGGAGUCGUUAUAGAGCGACCCGAACACGCCCUGAGCGAGGACUUCGGCAUCGAUGAGCACGUCGGGCGGGGCAUUGGUCUUGAAACCGGGCACAAACGCCUGGAUCAGGCCAGAGCUGGUUCGAAUGUUCACUUGGAGCCGCUCAUUGUCCACCUUCACGUAUCGCACGACACCGCCGAUGCUCACACGCUGAGCGUCCUGGUCGCCAGAUUCAAGUUGGUCCAAAGUCACGGAAUUGGCGGGGGGGC